GAAUCCUCUUUUCUAGGAUAACAAAGGUCACCGUUGAAACUAAUCUGCGUCGAUCUAUUCUUCUCGCUACAUACCUCGGCGACGACGGCGGCUGCGUCUCUCUCUGCCACCAUGGAUCUAUUUCUUGUAGCUUCGUCGCCACCGAUGGCGGCCGCGUCUCUCCCACUAGCCAUGCUCUGCAGGCAUCAGCAUGGAAGAAGACCACGCCCCCUUGUCUUCCCAGCAGGUCUCCGAAGUCCAACGCUCUCCACCGGCACUUGUCCCAUUAAAAUCGGCCAAAAUUCAUAUGUGGUAUGUUGCUCACCAUUAAUCUUCUCGCAUAUGUAAACACAUACAUCUCCAUGUAGCUAGCUUGAGGUUUAUACAUGUAAAUGAAUCUAGCGCUUUGUGUUCUGGUAUAUGUACGAUGGAGGACACUCGAACAACGGCGACGAAUGAAUCAAUCCCCCCGUCGGUGCCAAAUACUAAUAUACAUGUGCUCAGGGAUCAAGUUGGAUUGUCAUCUAAUUCAGAUCCGAAAGAAUCAUCAACAAGCAAUCAGGAUCAGCAGAUACUUGACAAAUGUAGAUAGAUGUGGCCCACGGCGGAGCGGCCGUCACACAACGCCACGGAUGGCGGCAGCUCACGGCAUGCACACAUAGCGGUAACAUGGCUGGCUGCGGCUAAACGGUGAUGAUGAGAAGCAGAUAGACUCCAGACGACGCAUGCGCGACGAGUGAUCCGACUCGCCCGAUCUCAGUUGCAGUGUCGCAGCCCUCCCUCGGGUCUGCUCUCUUCAAAUCUGGCACACGCCGUGGAAAUAUGAUGACAGAUUGAAUAACACAUGAAUCACCAUGGAUCUCCUAGCUACCGAUGGUGCCCGAUUGAUCCAUGCUCUAUGAUAUACUGUGUGCAUGACAUAAUUUUGGUAGUACGUGCACCUGCAAUCGAAUCAUGUUUCUUAUUAUGAUGAUGUAUAUGCUCCCUGCAAAGAAAAUGAUGAUGUAUAUAUACUCCUUCUGAUGCAGUA